rnacentral:rRNA from 1 species
UACAGAGGUCUCAACCGUUGUUCGGAUUCAUUGGGCGUAAAGGGUGCGUAGGCGGUCGGGUAAGUCGGAUGUGAAAUCCCAGGGCUCAACCCUGGAACUGCAUUCGAUACUGCCUGGCUAGGGUACUGGAGAGGAGACUGGAAUUUACGGUGUAGCGGUGAAAUGCGUAGAUAUCGUAAGGAAGACCAGUGGCGAAGGCGGGUCUCUGGACAGUUCCUGACGCUGAGGCACGAAGGUCAGGGGAGCAAACGGG